CUGGGCUGCCUCUUACCUAGCAGGAAAUUAAAAUUUUAAGGGCUAAUUCCCCUUAAUUCAUUCAACAAAUAUUUACUAUGAUGAAGAAAUGUUCCAUGCAGAGGAAAUGGCCAAUGCAAAGAGCUCCUGACUGGAGGGCAUGUGGCACAUUCUAGGAGAGUGAGGAGCGUGGAGGCUGGAUUUCAAAGGUCAACUGAGAAUGGCAGAGGACUCAUCUCACCUUUGCCACAUGGUGACUCGCCCCACUCCCCCAGGUGACCUUGCUUGUGCAUGUGGAUAUUUGCUCAGAUUAACGUUUCCCACAAAAUUGCUUGCUCUCUUUCAUUCUGUCCGUGGUUGGUUGUCGUUUAUUUGUUGAUAACUGAGAGUAUUUAAAAAUUGCCAAAA